rnacentral:rRNA from 1 species
UUUUAUUUGAGAGUUUGAUCCUGGCUCAGGAUGAACGCUGGCGGCGUGCCUAACACAUGCAAGUCGAGCGAUUCUCUUCGGAGAAGAGCGGCGGACGGGUGAGUAACGCGUGGGUAACCUGCCCUGUACACACGGAUAACAUACCGAAAGGUAUGCUAAUACGAGAUGAUAUAUAGAAGUUGCAUGACUUUUAUAUCA